rnacentral:lncRNA from 1 species
GACUGCAUUCCACUUGGCAUGUGCCAAUGGCCAUUCAGCGGUGGUCACUCUGCUCCUGGAGAGAAAAAUGCCUGCUUAACCUCCGUGACAAUGAAAACAGGACCGCACUGAUGAAGGCCAUAGAAUGCCAAGAAGAGGAGUGUGCGACUCUUCUGCUGGAGCAUGGUGCCGACCCAAAUGUCAUGGACGUCUGUGGGAACACCGCUCUCCACUAUGCUGUCUUUUGCCAGAAUAUAUCACUCACAGCAAAGCUGCUUUCCUGCGACGCCAAUAUAGAAGCCAGGAACAAGAAACCACUGUGGAACAUCAUAACCAAAGCUCCAACUUCCAGUACUUAGAAAACGUAAGUGUAAGGAGAGUGGAAGUGUUAAUCCUUCAGUCGUGUCUGACUCAUUGCCACCCCAAGGACUGGAGCCCACCAGGCUCUUCUGUCCAUGGAAUUCUUCAAGCAAAAAUACUGGAGUGUGUAGCCAUGCCCUCUUCCAGGGGUCCUCCUGACCCAGGGAUCGAACCUGCAUCUCCUGCAUUACAGGCAGAUUCUCGACUGUCUGAGCCACCAGGGAUGCCCAUCAGGAAAGUGUAA